rnacentral:lncRNA from 1 species
UUAAAUAUUUUCACUUAAAUAUUUCUUAUUAUUGACCAAAUUAAGAGGUUUAUAAAAUAUUUGAUAAACCAAUUUCAUAGGUAAUGUCAAAACUAAUAGCUAUAAAUAAUUAUAGAUGCUUGAUAAGGAAUAGAAACUUCAAAUUUCUUAAUUAGAGAUAGUAUUGCAUAAAUUGAAGACCAAUUAUGCAAAGUACAUUAAAAUUCUUAUUAUUUUGUGAGUUGCACAUUAUAAGCAAUAAGGCUCAUAAUUAUCCUCACCUUUCACACANNNNNNNNNNAAAAAAAAAAAAAAAAAAAAAAAAAGGAAGAAAACAACACCAUUUAUUGCAAUAGAAAUUACUUAAACAUAGAAAAUAAAUAUGCUUAUUUUUUCCUACCCGAGUAUUACCAUAACCACCAUCAUCUUGAGUGUUUCCUUUAUUAGUAUUAUCUUUAGCACCUCCGGCCUCCACCUUGAGUGUUUUCACCCUCGGUAUUCUCCAAUUUUAUAUCUUGGGUAUUUCCUCCUUGAGUGUUGCCCGAUCCUUCAUUUUGAGUAUUUCCGCCCUGGAUAUUAAUAUAUCCUAUAUCUUGAGGGUUUAUUCCCUGGGGGUUUCCCCGUCCUCCACCUCGAGGCUGAAAACAUUCUACAACUUGAAUAUUUCCUUCCUGGUUAUUAUUCUGUCCUCCCUGUUGAGUAUUUCCUUCCUGGAAGUUACUCAAUCGUUCUUUAGUGUUUCCUCCUUGGAUGUUACUACAUCCUCCACUUUGAGUGUUUCCUCCAUGAGUAGACAUUCUUUCACUAGAGAGACUUGAACUUUGCUAGAAUGUUUUUGUGAAAUAUUUUCGUGUCCGCAAACCAAAGGAUUGUGAGUACUUAUAUAUACACAUAGGAAAUGAACUGUGACUUAGAAUAUUCUUAUAUUAUUCAUUGCUGAUUACAUAUCAGAUGAAGAAGAGGCAUAGUUAAUUAUUUAAGAAAGACCAAGACCUUACCAAUGUUAAUAUUAAAAUUUAUUUUCUUUUAUGGAGGAAAUUGAAUAAUUAUCUCAAAGUCUUUUUUUAAAGGAAAAAAAAUUCUCAAAGUCUUCGUCUACUUAUUUUUAUUUAUUUAGAAAUCAUAUAUAUUUACAGGCUAAUGGCUCUCUCAUUGCCUCAGCCAUAUUGCUAUCCCACUUCUUAGAGUCAUAGGUAUAAACCUAACCUAAUCAUUCCAAAUUUGAUUUGAGAUAAUUUCCAGAAACAUGCAUUCACCACUCAAGCGUGGGACCCAUGCGCUUUUGUUUUCUUAAAAAGAAGGCUGUUUGUACGCUCUUUCUUCUCUUAUAGAUGGGAUAGGAUUUGCUUUUCCUAAUUUUUUCAGAUUAUUAUAUAAAUAUUGGUUACUUUAAAAUAAUCUUUCACAGCUAUAAUGAGAUGUUAUGAUCUUAAUUACGAAAAAAUGAGAUUUAAAUCCUAUAUUGAUGCCUUAAAAUUUAAAUUGACUCCUAAAUUUAUAAGAAAAUUACAUUAGAGCUUUAAUGCUAGUAAAAUUACAAUUUUUUUUAAUAUUUCCAUUUGUAAAGACGCAUCUAUUGAAUUAAUUUUACACAAAAUUUUAAUUAUUUGAAAAGAAAUGAUUAAUACACUCUCAAAUCCUAAAUGAACACUUAAAGCAGAAUAAGGUAAAAUGUCCAUUUGUUACUAUUAAGAUGGAACGGAAGGAGUAUUGUUUUUGUUUUUUUUAUUUCUGUCAAUAGUUUUAUAGGAUUGAGACUUUCUUUUUUGUUCGGUUAAAUAUACAUUAUGAGUAUAUUCAGAAAAUAUCUUCUGAAUGUAUACUUAUUUUGCCAACAGGCUAGUAAAUAAUUUGUAGAUUUAUGCUAAGUAGUAUCAAUUUAUGUCUAUAAUUAUGGGUCCCAUAUGAAAACUCAAACUUGUGCCCACUUCUCAUAAUUCGUUGCUGAUAUUUAAAUAACAUCAAACAAAUAAUAAAUAAUAAAAUAUAAUUGAAAUAAUAAUUCAAUAAAAACUCAAAAAAAUCUUGUAGAUUUUAAAAUCUCAAUCAAUCUACCAUUAAAAUAAAAUAUUAAUUAAUAAUUAAAUAAAAAAAUUUUAAUAAUCGAAAAAAGAGUGGUAUUUAAUGGUAGCUUUAAGGUCUGGUUAAGGGUAGGAAUGUAGAUUUGUUGAAGAAAGCAUUUAGGUUUUGAAGGACGUAAGCUUAGCCACAUAAAAAGCGCUGUUAAGCCUAAAGUAAAGGUGAAGCUACAAAAACACUUGCAACAUGGACCGCACAAAUCCGACAGUCUUGGUCUACAUUUUGUAGAUAAUUAUCAUUAAUGUCUGUAUAAAUAAAAUUAAUUAAUUUUCACUUUGCAAAGUCUUGGUCUACAUUUUGCAGAUAAUUAUCAUUAGUAUAGUCACAGAAAAUCAACUCUACUUUUAAUGAAAAGACUUGAUUAAGUUAACCUUUGCAGAAAAUAAAAAUGAGGUGAUGUUUGAAAAUAAUUUUGGACGGUGUGAUUAUCUUAUAAAAUUAUAAUUUAAUCAAUAAUAAAUUCUUGUAAAAUCAUCUCAAACUAAUAGAAAAAAAUUAGAAUUACUAUUAUUUUGGAUAAAGUUAGAAAAAAAGAAUUACUAUUAUUUUGGAUUUCUAAAUAGAAAAAAAUUAGUCAAAAACUGUCAAAUUUAUUACUCUAUCAAGAUAAAAUGGAGUUUCUAUCACAUCUUCCUUCUAAAUUUACUCUCUUUGCUUUCUAAAUAAAUUCCCUUGUAAAAUAAAUUUGUUUAGGCAAAAAAUUUUGCAAAAUUUGAGAGGUUUAUAUAUUUUUUUUAAUGGUUAAAUAUUUUUCACUUAAAUAUUUCUUAUUAUUGACCCUAAUUAACAUACAGGUUUAUAAAAUAUUUGAUAAACCAAUUUCAUAGGUAAUGUCAAAACUAAUAGCUAUAAAUAAUUAUAAAUACUUGAUAAGGAAUAGAAACUUCAAAUUUUUUAAUUAGAGAUAGCAUUGCAUAAAUUGAAGAGCAAUUAUGCAAAGUACAAUAAAAUUCUUAUUAUUUUGUGAGUCGCACAUUAUAAGCAAUAAGGCUCAUAAUUAUCCUCACCUUUCACACAUUAAAAAAAAAAAAAAAGGAACACCAUUCAUUCCAGUAGAAAUUACUUAAACAUAGAAAAUAAAUAUGCUUAUUUUUUCCUUCCCGAGUAUUACCAUAACCACCAUCAUUUUGAGUGUUUCCUUCAUAAGUAUUAUCUCUAACACCACCUGCCUCCACCUUGAGUGUUUCCUCCUUGGGUGUUUCCCCAUCCUCCACCUUGAGUAUUUCCUCCCUGAGUGUUACCCCAUCCUCCGCCUUGAGUAUUUCCGCCUUGGGUAUUACCAUAUCCUCCACCUUGAGUGUUUCCUCCUUGGGUGUUACCACAUCCUCCACCUUGAGUGUUUCCUCCCUGUGUGUUACCCCAGCCUCCUUGAGUGUUUCCUCCUUGAGUAGACAUUCUUUCACUAGAGAGAUUUGAACUUUGCUAGAAUGUUUUUGUGAAAUAUUUUCGUGACUGCAAACCAAAGGAUUGUGAAUCCUUAUAUAGACAUAUAGGAAAUAAACUGUGACUUGAAAUAUUAUUAAAUUAUUCAUUGCUGAUAAGAUAACUGAUGUAGAAGUUAUAGUUAAUUAUUUAAGAAAGACCAAGACCUUACCAAUGUUAAUAUUAAAAUUUAUUUUCUUUUAUGGAGGAAAUUGAAUAAUUAUCUCAAAUUCUUUUUCUAAAGGAAAAAAUUCUCAAAGUCUUCGUCUACUUAUUUUUUAUUUAUUUAUAGAUCAUAUAUAUUUAUAGGCUAAUGGCUCUCUCAUUGCCUCAGCCAUAUUGCUAUCCCACUUCUUAAAGUCAUAGGUAAUAAACCUAACCUAGUUUUUACAAAUUAGAUUUGAGACAAUUUCAGGAAACAUGCAUUCACAUUUGCUGUGGCGGGCCCACUCAAGCGUGGGACCCACGCGCUUUUGUUUAAAAAAAACAAAAAAGAGCGCGUUUUCUUCUCCUAUGAAUAGGAUAGAAUUUGCUUUUCCUAAUUUUUUCAGAUUAUUAUAUAAAUAUUGGUUACUUUAAAAUAAUCUUUCACAACUUUAAUGAGAUAUUAUGAUCUUAAUUACAAAAAAAAUGAGAUUUAAAUCCUAUAUUGAUGCCUUAAAAUUUAAAUUGACUACUAAAUUUAUAAGAAAAUUACAUUAGAGCUUUAAUGCUAGUAAAAUUACUUUUUUUUUUAAUAUUUCAAUUUGUAAAGCCGCAUCUAUUGAAUUAAUUUUACACAAAUUUUAAUUAUUUGAUAUAAAUUAUUCAACGAGAAUUUUCACAUUUUUUUAAUCAUUAAGUAUUUGGUAAGUAUAAUUUUUUAAUUUAAGUGCUUAAUAAAUGCAAUUUUAAUUAUAAGUUAAAAUGUUCGAUAGCUGUAAUUUUAGAAAUUUAAGAAUUAAUUAGGUCAAUAUAAAAGUUGGAACUUGCUACUAAACUUUCCUUCUAAUAUUAUGGAUUCGUUCAUAUUUAAAUUAUGUGAAUUUGUACAUAAAUAAAGGAAGAAGUGAUUCUUUAUUUUAUCAAUACGAAAUGGGAAAGGAACUAAUGAAUUUAUUUAUAUUAUUGCAAAUUUAAUAUUUAUCGUAUAUAAGGCAUGAUUGUUGUUUUUGGCGUUGAUUCUUGAAAAUAAUGAACAAUUAAUAUAUAUAUUCCAUUAAUUUGUAAUUCUAUUAAAACAACCUUUCACAAGCAUAAAUUUAAAAAAAAAAUUAAAAAAAAAAAAAAAAAAAAAAAACACCAUUGAUUGCAUCUAAUUGAAAUUGCUAAAACACUUAUGCAAGGCAACCGCAAAGUCUUGAUAUUGAUCUGAGAAGUGAUACAAUUUGACACAAAAUUCCUUCUUGGGCAUUGUCAUCUUGUAGAUUCUUACUUGGGGUAUCUCCUGCUUGAGUGAAUUGAGAAUUUCCGCCAUGAAUGAUUCCUCCCCGAAUAUUACCACUUCCGCCUUGUAUAUUUCCUCCUUGAAUAUUACCGCUACCUCCAAUUUGAGUGUUUCCUUCCUGGGAGGCCAUUGUUUCACUGAGAGAGAACUUGGAACUUUUGUUAGAAUGUUUUGUGUAAUAUUUUCGAGUCUUGGAAGUGAACUGUGACUAAUCAGAAAAUUGUGAAUCCUUAUAUACGCAUAUAGGAAAUGAAGUGUGAAUUGGAAUAUUGUUAUAUUAUUCUUGCCGAUUAGAUGACAGGUGUACAAGGUAUACUUAAUUAUAUUAGUUUAGUAAAUACUAAACAUGAUUAGGCAAAGUAAUUCCUUUGGUCGGUAGCCAUCAGCAAAAUAGGCCGAGUCAAUUAGGACAAAAAAACAAAAAAGUAGAGAAAGACGGAGAAAAUGUUUAAUGAAAAGACUUGAUUAAGUUAACUUUUGCAGAAAAUAAAAAUGAGGUGAUGUUUGAAAAUAAUGUUGGACGGUGUGAUUAUCUUAUAAAAUCUAAAGGGUAGUUUGUUUAGGGAAUAAAAGUAACUUGUUUAGAAAGAUUUUAAAAAAAAAAAAUCAAAUUUGACACUUUGAGUUCAUUUGGUUCCUAAAUUCUUUUAGAACGAUUAAAAAAACUAGAACCUUUUAAAUUGAUUUAGCGUUUAAACUUAUUUAGGAGAAUUAAUAAAUUUCUUAAUGGCCAUAUAAAAACAUUAAACGAUUUAUAUUUUGAAAGAGAUGGAUUAGUAAAUACUAAACAUGAUUAGGCAAAGUAAUUGCUUUAGUCGAGAGCCAUCGACAAAAUAGGCCGAGUCAAUUAGGACAAAAAAAAAGUAGAGGAAGACCGAGAAAAUGUUUAAUGAAAAGACUUGAUUAAAUUAACCUUUGCAGAAAAUAAAAAUGAGGUGAUGUUUGAAAAUAAUUUUGGACGGAGUGAUUAUCUUAUAAAAAUUAUAAUUUAAUCAAUAAUAAAUUCUUGUAAAAUCAUCUCAAACCAGCACUAACAGCAAACUAAUACUAUUUUAGUUUAGAACAGAUAUCUAGAGAAGGAUAAAGUUAGAAAAAAAGAAUUACUAUUAUUUUGGAUUUCUAAAUAGAAAAAAAUUAGUCAAAAACUGUCAAAUUUAUUACUCUAUCAAGAUAAAAUGGAGUUUCUAUCACAUCUUCCUUCUAAAUUUACUCUCUUUGCUUUCUAAAUAAAUUCCCUUGUCUUGACCUAUUACAGUUAUUUAUUAGUUAAACUUUUAUUUAUUAGUUAAACCUAAUUAAGAGUUUUAUAUAGUUAUUGUCGAAACUAACAGCAAUAAAUAAUUAUAAAUAAUCGAUGAGUAAUAGAAACUUGAAAUUUCUUCAUUAGAAAUAUUAUUUGCAUAAAUUGAAGAUCAAUUAUGCAAAAUACGCAUAGUACAUUAUGAGCAAUAAGACUCAUAAUUAACCUCACCUUUUACACAUAAAAGGAAAAAAAAAAUACCAUUUAUUCCAUCCAAUUGAAAUUACUUAAAUAAAACACCUUAAGUGUUUCCUCCCUUUAUUUCAAAAAAAAUAACAGGUUGAGCCUUUGCUUCCUGAGUAUUGCCACCACCUCCGCCUUGAGUGUUUCCUCCCUGAGUAUUGCCACCACCUCCGCCUUGAGUGUUUCCUCCCUGAGUAUUGCCACCACCUCCGCCUUGAGUGUUUCCUUACCACCUUGGGUAUUACCACCACCUCUACCUUGAGUGUUUCCUCCCUGAGUAUUACCCCUUCCUCCUUGAGUGUUUCCUCCUUGAGUCGACAUUGUUUCGUUCGGAGAGAUCUUGAAACUUGGUUAGAAUGUUUUGGUGAAAUAUGUUUUGUGUCUUGGAAGUGAAGCGUGAUUAACCAAAGAAUUGUGAAUCCUUUUAUAGGCAUAUAGGAAAUGAAAAUUGUUCUAUUAUUCCUUGCUGAUGAGAUGACAAGUAUAGAAGGUAUAGUUAAUUAUUUAAGAUAGACCAAGAACAUAGAAUGUCAACAUUAAAAUAUAAAUGAAAAGAAGUAGAUCGGGAAUUUGGGAAAUACAUAUUUAAUAUAAGUAAUCACUUUGGUCGGUAGCCGUUAAUAAAAUAGGCAGUCAAUGAAGACAAAAAACAAGAAGGAAAAAAAAAAAAAAAGACCGGGNNNNNNNNNNNNNNNNNNNNNNNNNNNNNNNNNNNNNNNNNNNNNNNNNNNNNNNNNNNNNNNNNNNNNNNNNNNNNNNNNNNNNNNNNNNNNNNNNNNNNNNNNNNNNNNNNNNNNNNNNNNNNNNNNNNNNNNNNNNNNNNNNNNNNNNNNNNNNNNNNNNNNNNNNNNNNNNNNNNNNNNNNNNNNNNNNNNNNNNNNNNNNNNNNNNNNNNNNNNNAUAUAUAUAUAUAUAUUGUUGGUUCAAGUGUCAAUUUUAUCUUGAGAUUUUGAUGAUUAUACAAAACAAAAUUUUACACAAAAUUUUAAUUAUUUGAUAUAAAUUAUUUGAUAGGUGUUAUUUUUAUAGUAUUUUUAAUAUAGUUUUUAUUAGGAAUUUUAGUAGUUUUAAUUACUUUAAUUAGUUUUAUUUAUGUUUUUGCGUAAAACGUCCUUGAAUCAUAAUCCACUUGAUCUUAAAGAAAUUUGUAGGGUAUUGGCACAGAAAAGAGUAAAAUAAAGCAAAACACUCAGGCUCUAGCACGCCCUGCCUAUGCACAUUAGCACACCCGUGCCUAAGAGGACCUCAGGGCGUGCUUGCAUAAGCACGCCCGUGAUGCAUUUCAUCCUGGAGACUCAGAGCCUAGCACGCCCUAACCGUGCUAUGGGGCAUGCCCAUUCCACAGAUUCUUCUCUGGACGUGUCGCUGAGCACGGCCCGUGCUGAACCAUCCUUGGAACUCAGACUCUGGCACGCCUAGCCCGUGCAAAACAGCACGCCCGUGUUACGAAUUAGGUGCUGUCUUGAAUCAAGAACGCCAGCUAGUUUCUAUAACUUACAUGGGCCACCUCAGAUAUUUUCCUGACGUACAAAUCAAGAUCUAUUUCUAAUCCUAUUUAGGCGCAUGUGAGAGUCCUAAUUGAGAAGAAAUUCAAAGCCUAAACAGUUUCCUAUUUUCAAAAGAUUUCUUACUUAAUUGAAGACUCUAUUUCCUAAACGAAGUCGGAUUUUUUCCCAGGAAGUCUAUAUAAAGAGAAGGGUCAUUCAUUGUAUAUUCCAUCUUUUUGUUCUAUUGUUUUCUCUCUCUCUCCAAGACUUCAAGCAUUCAAGAUUUGUGUUAAGAUUCAUGGAAGCCGUCCGCAUUAUUUGUUGACUAGUUUUUAUCUCUAAACUCUUAAUCUUGGUUUUACUUUUCAUCAUUCAUAUUGAUUAUGGAUUUAUUAUCAAGUUUAAUUGAGUUUUAUUUAAUUGUUAUGUCGAACUAAACUCUCAUACUAGAGAUUUGAUAUAGCUUAAUUUUGAUUCCAAUUUAUAAUAUUAGAUUUGCUUUUCCUUGUUCAUGAUAUAAUUUAUUAUUGAACUUAAUGCUUCCAGGCAGAGUUUCUCUCCUGGAUUGAUUUAUUUCAUUAAUCACUAUCGGGAGAAGGGUUUUUGAUAUAAAAAAAGGUAAUAAAUUACAUGAGAAUAAUAACUUGAUGCGGAAGCUAUAUGGUUUGACUCAUGGGGGGUUUUCAUAAGUUAAUGACCUUAGAUUAUGAAUUCAUAAAACAAACCAUAAAACUUAAUGAUUUAAUUCAUGUUUGAUUGCGCUAUUAGAAGAUAGGUUAUUAGACCGGGUUAAAAUAGCUAACAAUACAUCGGGAGAGCUUGUUAGUGAUUUUAGGGUUGUUUUCCCUACUUGAACAAUUAAAAUUGAUUAACGAACUAAUAAAAUAAAUUUUAUAGAAUUAAGUGAAGUCAAAAUUCCUAGCAACUUUAAAUCCUUGAUUUCUUUUAAUUAAAAAUUGCCUUGCUUGAUUUCUUGUUAUUCUAUUUUAUUUGUUUAAUUUAAUUUCUUGAAAUAAUUUCCCUUAUUGCCGUUUAAAUAAUAAUAGGUUAAUACAAUUUUGGUACUUUAUAUACAAUCUCUGUGGAUACGAUACUCUAUGUAGAAUAUAAGUUGAGACAGAAGAGAGUUUGAAAGAGAGAGAAUGCUUUUCUCAUUGACAUUGUAUCAAUAUAUGCAGCGGAAGCCAAAACUAAUUACCUACAAAAUCUCUAGCUGUUACAACUAAAUCUAAUUAUACACUUCAAAAUACAAACAAUACUAUGAAUUCAAAAUACAAAGUGUACAGCUGGAAGAAGAAUGAUAUAAAAUAUCUUUGCCAAUAUUCCCCCUCAAGAUGGAGGUCGAGAAGAAACUCCAAUCUUGUCUCGAAAAAUCUGAAAUUUUGAACCCGUUAGAGACUUGGUUAAAGCAUCAGCUAGUUGGUCACGACUUUAAACAUGAGAAACCCGAAGAUAACCAUUUUGGACAAGGUCUCUCACAAAUUACAAACCCAAAUUAUUUCAGCUGCUGUUGACGUAAUUGCCCUGUAUUUCGCCUCGGUAGAAAAAUGAGCUGCUGUUUGUUGCUUUUUAGAGCACCAUGAAAUUGGAUUCUUGCCCAAAAAUAGAACAUAAGCUGUUGUAGAGGACCAAUCAUCUCUAUUGCCACCCCAAUCGGCAUCAGAAAAAGCAUGUAAUAAUGACAGAGGUGAUUGAUUAUGAAAUUGAAGACCAUGAUCAAUUGUACCUUUCAAAAAACGAAGCAACCAUUUGACCAUGGACCAGUGUUCAGAUGUUGGUGACUGCAUAUAUUGAGAUAAUCUAUUUACCACAAAACCCAACUCUGGUCUUGUGAUUAACAAGUACUGCAGACUCCCUACCACCAUGCGAUACUCUGUAGGAUCUUCCAAUGUGGUGCCUGAAUAUUUAGUGAUUGUGAAGGGUGAAGGUAAAGGUGUUUUGACUAGUUUGGAAUCAAGCAUAUUGGUGCGUGUGAGAAGAUUCUUAAUGUAUCGUUUUGAGACAACAACACCCCCUGCUGAUUUAGAACUACUUCAACACCAAGAAAAUAUGAAAGGAAACCCAAAUCUUUGAGAGAAAACUUUUCAGAAAGAUUCUUAACAAACUGAUCAACAAAUGUGGGAUGAGAUCCUGUGAGGAUAAUAUCAUCAACAUAAACUAAUAAAUAUAAGAUGAUAUUGUCCUGAUGAAAAAUGAAAAGAGAGGUGUCAGCAAGUGAAUUGUGAAACCCAUAAUCAAGCAAGUAUGUUCGCAGUUCAUGAUACCAGGCUCUUGGAAACAUGACAUGGAAAAUCUUUAUCAAUGAAGCCAGCUAGUUGAGACAUAUAGACAUCCUCUGUUAAAGUGCCCUGUAAAAAAGCAUUGUUAAUGUCCAAUUGACGAAGAGUCCAUUUGUUGCUUAACGCCAGACUAAGAAUAAUCCGAACUGUAGUUGGCUUAAUCACAGGACUGAAAGUAUCAUGGUAGUCGAUGCCAGGACGUUGAUUGAAGCCUUGUGCCACCAACUGUGCUUUGAACCUGGUAAUAGAACCAUUAGAAUUUCUUUUGAUUUUGAAAAUCCACUUACAACCAAUAAUAUUUUAACUAGAAGCAGCAGGAACGAGGUCCCAUGUGCCAUUACUGACAAGAGCAUCAAAUUCUGCACUCAUGGCCUUACGCCAUUUGGGAUCAGAGAGGGCCUGUUUCACCGAAUUUGGUUCUAGAUCAAUGGUGCUUUUGGUCAACUGAGCUGUGAGAUUGAGUUUGGUUAUGAGUUUCUUAAUGUUGUUUUUGGAUCUUGUAGUCAUGGUAUGAAGGGGAGGAGGUGGUGGAUUGGAUUGGACAGUGUUAGGUAUUAAAAAAGUGUUGGUGGUGGUGGUUGUGUUGAAAGGGGUUGGAUUCGGUGAAGAAAUCAUAUGCACGUCUGCUGUGUUGUUGCCUUCCAAGCAUGGAAUGGGGAUAGCUGUAGUGACGGAAGGAAUUUUAAUAACUGGUGGAGUCCAAUUAGCGAAAGAGAUGGAUGGAGAUUCUAAUUUCUUGGAAUGAGAUAUGGAAAAGGGAUACACGGACUCAACAAACUGAACAUGUCUGGACACUAUUAUGUUGGACGUUGGAAUAUGGUAACACAGGUAAGCACUUUGAGUAAGAGAAUAUCCAAGGAAGACAUAGGGUUUGGACCGAGGUUCUAGUUUGUGAGAGGCAUAUGACCAAGUCCAAGGAUAGCAUAGACACCCGAAAAUCCUAAGUUUAGUGUAAUUGGGUUUGCAGCCAAAGAGUUUUUCAAAAGGUGACACAAGGCUCAAGGUUUUUGUGGGCAUCCUGUUUAUUAAAUAAACUGCAGUACUAAAAGCAUAUGACCAGAAUUGUAGGGGAAUGGAGGCUUGAUGUAAGAGGGUUAAACCAGUUUCCAUAAUGUGUCUAUGCCUUCUUUCGGAGAAACCAUUAUGUUGAAGUGUAUGUGGUGGUGUAGUUAGGUGAGAAAUCCCAUUGUUGGCCCAAAAAGAUUUUAAGGCAGUGAACUCUCCUCCAUUAUCAGAGCACAAUGUUUUAAUUUUGUGCUCAAAGUGCUUUUUCAAUAAUUGACUUCAAUCGAAUAAAAACAUCUUUAACUUCAGAUUUGGCUUUUAGUGGGUAAAGCCAAAUAUAUUUUGUGUGAUGGUCUAUAAACACAACAUAGUACUUGAAAUUAUCAAUUGAUAAAACAGGUGAUGUCCAAACAUCGGAAAAAAUAAUUUCAAGCGGUUUAGUUGUAGACAGAGACGAUUGAAAAAAAGGAAGUUGAUGAGCUUUAUUGCAAGAACAAGCAUUACAAGAAAAUUAUUUGAAACAUUGGACUCUAAAUUAUUGGUUUGAACAAUAUGUUGAAGAAUCGAAAAGACAGGGUGACCUAGACGUUGAUGCCAAGAAGAGGAUGAGGCUUUGACAGUUGAAAAAGCUAACAUAGGUUUAGUGGUCAGUUGAUUUGAAAGAGACCAUUCAUAAACUCCAUCCUUCAUAGCUCCCUGGUGUAAAAUUGUUUUGGUGCAUAGAUCCUUCACCUGAAAAUGUUUAGGGAAAUUGAGAAAUGGAGAUUAAGUUGUGCAUAGAUCCUUCACCUGAAAAUGCAUAGAAACCUCAUUAGUUGAGCAAAAUUGAGAAAUGGCGAUUAAGUUUUUCUUUAUGGAAGGGACACAAAGAAUAUUAUCUAAUUUGAAAGUUGAGUUUGAGGUGGGUAAAGAAACAGAACCAGUGUGGCUUAUAGGUAAACCUGUGCCAUCUCCAAUUGUGACCUCAUCUGAUCCUCGAUAAGGUGAGUGUAAAGUAAGAUUGCUCAGGUCAACAGUAGUAUGGUGACUCGCUGCACUGUCUAAUAGCCAACUUUGAUUAUUAUUGGUUGUAACUACUGCAUUUGCUUGAGGCUUCCACGAAUUUCUUUGUUUAUUUUGUGAUGCAGGAAGAGAGUUAACUUGGUUUGGAAUCAAUUGGAAAGAGAGACAACGUUUUGUAGUGUGACCUUGAACGCCACACAAUUGACAGUAGCCAAGAUAGGGUCUAGGGGUUCUAUUCUUUCGAUUGGAGUAGGAUCGGUUGUUUGGAUAGUUAUUGGUGUUGUUGGUGGAUCGGUAAUUAGGUUGAUUGCGGUUGUUGGUGAUUGGUUUGGUGGCUACGUUUGCUAUUGCGGGGAAGUGAGAUGAUUCAGUAUUUGCAUUGGUAAUUUCAAAGGUGAGAAGUUUUUCCUGAAGUUCUUCAAAAGUGAUGGAUGAUUCUCGAGCUUGAAUGGCUCGAGCAAAUUCUUUGUAAGCAUCACUUAAACCUGCAAAAACAAUGUCAGUAACAUCUUCAAUAUCCAUUGGAGAACCCAAUGUGGCAAGCUCAUCUACUCGAGCUUUAAUGGUAUGUAAGAAAUCUGUUAUUGUCAUGGAGCCUUUGGUCAAGGAAUUUAUUUGUGUCUUGAUGUGUUUGAUCCGUCCUCUGGAUGGUUUGGCAUAGGUGGUGGCUAAUAUAUCCCAAGCUUCUUUGGCAGUAGCUAAAAUGGCUAUGAAAGGUAUAAUGUUGGGAGAGAGGGAGCCAACUAUGGCAUUGAGAAUUAGCUGAUCUUGGCUAAUCCAAGAUUGGUGAGAUGGGUUGGGAGUGAUAUCGUCAUUAGUUGUUGUUGUUGAUGGAGGGCAAGGUUUGGAUCCAUUGAUAUAACCAAGAAGAUCAUAUCCAGUAAGAAGGGUUUGAAACUGAAGUUUCCAUGAAGGAUAGUUGCUGCUUAUUAAUUUGAUUGGUGUUUGUAUGACAGUGUUAAUGAUGAUUAAAUUGGUUGAGGGGUCAGUAGAAUUUUGCACGCCAUUAUUGUUGCUGCUGUUAGCCAUUGUGAGCGAAAAGGACAAAAGAGAAGAAAAAAAAAAGGAUCAGUAGCUAUUGUGCUCUGAUACCAUGUAGAAUAUAAGUUGAGACAGAAGAGAGUUUGAGAGAGAGAGAAUACUUUUCUCAUUGACAGUGUAUCAAUAUAUACAGCGGAAGCUAAAACUGUUACAACUAAAUCUAAUUAUACAAUUCAAAAUACAAACAAUGGAUACUAUGAAUUCAAAAUACAAAGUGUACAGCUAGAAGAAGAAUGAUCUAAAAUAUAUUUGCCAACACUCUACUCAUUCUAUAUUACUUGUUGCGAUCUCGUACACUUGCGAAAAUCACUACCAUUAUUGAACGAGAAUUUUCACAUUUUUUUAAUCAUUAAGUAUUUGGUAAGUAUAAUUUUUUAAUGUGAGUGCUUAAUAAGUGCAAUUUUAAUUAUAAGUUAAAAUGUAUAUUCUUAUAUUAUUCAUUGUUGAUUAGAUAACAGAUGAAGAAGGUAUAGUUAAUUAUUUUAGAUAGACCAAGACCUUACCGAUGUCAAUAUUAAAAUUUAUUUUCUUUUAUGUAGGAAAUUGAAUAAUUAUCUCAAAGUCUUUUUUUAAAGGAAAAAAUUCUCAAAGUCUUCGUCUACUUAUUUUUUAUUUAUUUAUAGAUCAUAUAUAUUUAUAGGCUAAUGGCUCUCUCAUUGCCUUAGCCAUAUUGCUAUCCCACUUCUUAAAGUCAUAGGUAAUAAACCUAACCUAGUUUUUACAAAUUAGAUUUGAGACAAUUUCAGGAAACAUGCAUUCACAUUUGCUGUGGCGGGCCCACUCAAGCGUGGGACCCAUGCUCUUUUGUUUAAAAAAAAAAACAAAAAAGAGCGUGUUUUCUUCUCCUAUGAAUAGGAUAGUAUUUGCUUCUCCUAAUUUUUUCAGAUUAUUAUAUAAAUAUUGGUUACUUUAAAAUAAUCUUUCACAACUUUAAUGAGAUAUUAUGAUCUUAAUUACAAAAAAAANNNNNNNNNNNNNNNNNNNNNNNNNNNNNNNNNNNNNUUGAUGCCUUAAAAUUUAAAUUGACUCCUAAAUUUAUAAGAAAAUUACAUUAGAGCUUUAAUGCUAGUAAAACUACAUAUAAUAAAUCAAUUUUUAUAAAUAAAAUUUACUUAAAGACUAUAAUCUACUUCCGUUGAUCCAAUCAGUGAUCACCAAUAAUGAUUUAGUAUAAUUUUUUUUAUUAAUAUAUAUAUAACAUUGGCUUGAGCAAGUGUGUUAUCCAAUGAGAAACAAGAUAAUAUAUACAAUUAAUAUAUGGAAUUUUAUAUUCAUCACACUCACCAUUUCCUGUGCUCAAAAUUGGAUUUAAGUGGUCUUUUCAAUGUAUUUGUUCUAUAAAUAUAAUUCUAGUUAUAUGAUAUAUUUCUUUUUUUUUUUUUCUUCAUUUCAUGCCCCACAUAAAAAUGUUAAUUAAUAUUUCUGCAACAAAAAAAUGUCUGUUAGGUAUCUUUCCUGUCACAAUGCUUCCUUUACCUUCUUCAUGGAAGAAGAAGUAAUGAGAAAAUAACUUAUGUGAUGGGAACCAAAAAAAAAAAAAAAAUGUGUUGAGACAAAAUAAACCAGACCACAAAAUUGAAAAUUAGAUAAAAAUUAGUAAUUUUGCAUAAUUAAUAAUAAUGUUGAGAAUUGAAUCUCACAAAUUUUCUUUGUUCUUUAGUCCACCAUCCAUAAAAGAAUUUCCUUUUUUUCUCCUUUUCUUUUUGAAAUUUCUUGCUAGAAAUUAAUGCUGACUUAAUUGAUGAAAAAAUUAAAAAGAUAUAGAGAAUGGAAAUUAAUUGAAAGUAAAAAAAUAAUAUUUAAUUAUAAUAUGUACGGACGUAAACUAUCAAAAUUUUCAAAUCUAAUAAUUUCCACAUUAUAAGAGAAAAUACAUGAUAUUUAUUGAUUAACUGGAUCUAAAAAAAUAAAAGUAUAGAAAUAAAUCAAAUUAAGAAAGGAAGUUAACCAUUAAUAAUUUUUUGUAUAUAAAUUAAUAGUAUAUCAAUUAUAUAUAUUAUGAAAUUGACUAUUCAAAUUAUUUAUAAUUAUGCAUUCAAAAAAUUGCAAUGAAAAUUUUAUAUUAAGCUUUACUUAUAUGAAUUAAAAAUUUAAAUUUAACGAAUUCUAACUGAGUAACUAAAAUUUAAGUUCUAGAAAGAAUGUAAUUAAAGAAUAAUAAAAAGAUUAAGCGGUAGAAAUGUAAUUAAAUAAUAAUAAAGGAUUAAGAAAUGAAAAUAUUAUUGUGCCAAAAAUUUAAUUAAAGAAUAGUAAAAGGGUUAAGAAGAAAAAUAUUGUAUGAUAAAAAUAUAAUUAACAAAAAAUAUUUUUUUAAUAGUUAAAUAUUUUCACUUAAAUAUUUCUUAUUAUUGACCUAAUUAAGAGGUGUAUAAAAUAUUUGAUAAACCAAUUUCAUAGGUAAUGUCAAAACUAAUAGCUAUAAAUAAUUAUAAAUGCUUGAUAAGGAAUAGAAACUUGAAAUUUCUUAAUUAGAGAAAGUAUUGCAUAAAUUGAAGACCAAUUAUGCAAAGUACAUUAAAAUUCUUAUUAUUUUGUGAGUUGCACAUUAUAAGCAAUAAGGCUCAUAAUUAUCCUCACCUUUCACACAAAAAAAAAAAAAAAAAGGAAAAAAACAACACCAUUUAUUCCAGUAGAAAUUACUUAAAUAUAGAAAAUAAAUAUGCUUAUUUUUUCCUACCCGAGUAUUACCAUAACCACAAUCAUCUUGAGUGUUUCCUUUAUAAGUAUUAUCUUUAGCACCUCUGGCCUCCACCUUGAAUGUUUUCACCCUGGGUAUUCUCCAAUUUUCUACCUUGAGUGUUGCCCGAUCCUUUAUUUUGAGUAUUUC